AUUGAACGCUGGCGGCAGGCCUAACACAUGCAAGUCGAACGAGUGGCGGACGGGUGAGUCAUGUCUGGGAAACUGCCUGAUGGAGGGGGAUAACUACUGGAAACGGUAGCUAAUCCCGCAUCCCAUCGACUGUUCCCAGAUGGGAUUAGCUAGUAGGUGGGGUAAAGGCUCACCUAGGCGACGAUCCCUAGCUGGUCUGAGAGGAUGACAGGCCACACUGGAACUGGGACACGAACCAGACUCCUAAGGGAGGCAGCAGUGGGGAAUAUUGCACAAUGGGCGCAAGACUGAUGCAGCCAUGCCGCGUGUGUGAAGAAGGACUUCGGGUUGUAAAGUACUUUAAGCGGAGAGGCGUUAACCGAAGAAGAAGCACCGGCUAACUCCGGGCCAGCAGCCGCGGUAAUAC
rnacentral:rRNA from 1 species